GUCCGAGUCCGAAUGGGGCGGA
rnacentral:miRNA from 1 species